rnacentral:rRNA from 1 species
GACGAACGCUGGCGGCGCGCUUAACACAUGCAAGUCGAGCGAUGAGACUCUAACAGUGUGCUUUGCUGCGAUGGCAAAGGGGUUUAUCGCCGGACGGGUACGUAACCCGUGAGUAACCUUACCUUGACAUAGGGAUAGCCUCUGGAAACCGGGAUUACUUCCAACUAAGAUCAUGAUGACACAUUUCGUCACGUGCAAAAGUCCGGGGGUCUAAGAUGGACUCGCGUCACAUUAGCGCGUUGGUAGGGUAAAAGCCAGGCAAGGCGACGGUGGGUAGCCGGCAGGAGAAGCUGAACCGCUAGAUUGGAACUGCGAACCAGUCCAAACUCGUACGGGACGCAGCAGUGGAGAAUAUUGCGCAAGGGAGGGAGAUCUGAUGCAGCGACGCGGCGUGAACGAGGAAGGGGUUCGAAUCGUAAAGUUCUUUUAGAUGGGAAGAUAGUGACGGUACCAGAAGAAGAAGCCCCGGCUAACUACGUG